rnacentral:rRNA from 1 species
AUGGCCGUCGCCGACGCGGUGCUGCCCUCGCCGUCGCCGUCGCCGCCGCCCCCGCCGGCGCGGGCCGUCGUCGUGCGCUUCGCCCUUGCCCCGAUGCUGGCGCUCGUGCUCGUCCUCCGCGUCGCCCUCGCCUGCCUGGGCUUCGCCUCUGCGUGGGUCAACUCCGCGGCCUCGGCUGCGAAGGUCGUGGCGCGCCGCGCCUGGGGCGAGGGCUCCGCCCCCUUCCUCUUCCUCCAGGCGCUCACGUACGGGGCUCUCAAGGUCUGCGUCUACAGCUUUCUUGUGUUGCUCGCGCUUGCCGUCCUGCAGCAGUGCGUGGCCUACGCGAUUGCAGUUGUAUCUGGAUCCACUUCGGGAUUCAAGAAGACGAAGCUAAGAAGAGAAGGUGUGUGGAGAAUUUUGCAAGGAGCUACAGUACCCAUUCUGCUGAUGGUUGUGAGUGAUCCCAACAGAUACAAGUUUUCAGGUGAAAAAGAGUCUUUGCAGACUUGCUUGUUUCUACUAGUAUAUCCAAAUCGUCAUUGGCCAUGA